UCCACCAGCGCAUGAAGAAACAACAUCUGAUGACCCUGAAUCUUCUCGUGACCUCGUCGUGAUGGUGGUUCGUCCGAUGGUUCUGCUGCUGCUGCUGGUCGCAUUUAUUUACAUCAGCAGACACAUAGCUUCCUCAAAGACGUCAACAGCAGCAUCAAACUCAGGCGAAGCAGCUUCAGCAGAAAUCAAGAGCAGAGAAACCUGACUGAAGGAAGGAGGCGAGACUGAUUAAAGCCGAGCUGAACGAGAGAAGAAACAAACAAGCUUUGAGCUGAAAUAUUGUUUAUUUUUGACAGUUUGUUUUCAACCAUCAUAGCGCUGUAUAGAUAAUUAAUGGAUGGAUGGAUCCUCCCAACAUGUUUAACAUACAGGAACUAACAACCUGCUGAAAGAAACAACCAUCACCACAAAAUGUCAACUCAUUUCUUUUCAAAGCAUUUUUUAGUUUUGUAAAGAAAAAC